GAUGAACGCUGGCGGCGUGCCUAAUACAUGCAAGUCGAGCGAACAGACGAGGAGCUUGCUCCUCUGACGUUAGCGGCGGACGGGUGAGUAACACGUGGAUAAUCUACCUAUAAGACUGGGAUAACUUCGGGAAACCGGAGCUAAUACCGGAUAAUAUAUUGAACCGCAUGGUUCAAUAGUGAAAGACGGUUUUGCUGUCACUUAUAGAUGGAUCCGCGCCGCAUUAGCUAGUUGGUAAGGUAACGGCUUACCAAGGCAACGAUGCGUAGCCGACCUGAGAGGGUGAUCGGCCACACUGGAACUGAGACACGGUCCAGACUACUACGGGAGGCAGCAGUAGGGAAUCUUCCGCAAUGGGCGAAAGCCUGACGGAGCAACGCCGCGUGAGUGAUGAAGGUCUUCGGAUCGUAAAACUCUGUUAUUAGGGAAGAACAAAUGUGUAAGUAACUAUGCACGUCUUGACGGUACCUAAUCAGAAAGCCACGGCUAACUACGUG
rnacentral:rRNA from 1 species